AUUGAACGCUGGCGGCAGGCCUAACACAUGCAAGUCGAACGAGUGGCGGACGGGUGAGUAAUGUCCGGGAAACUGCCUGAAGGAGGGGGAUAACUACUGGAAAAGGUAGCUAAUACCGCAUACCAGCAGAUGUGCCCAGAUGGGAUUAGCUAGUUGGUGGGGUAAAGGCUGACCAAGGCGACGGUCCCUAGCUGGUCUGAGAGGAUGACCAGCCACACUGGAACUGGGACACGGUCCAGACUCCUACGGAUGGCAGCAGUGAGGAAUAUUGCACAAUGGGAGCAAGCCGGAGGCAGCCAUGCCGCGUGUAUGAAGAAGGCCUUCGGGUUGUAAAGUACUUUCAGCGGGGAGGCGUUACCCGCAGAGGAAGCCCCGGCUAACUCCGAGCCAGCAGCCGCGGUAAUUC
rnacentral:rRNA from 1 species